CCCAGCGCUAUGCGCUGGGCUGGUAUAUUGCGCUCUUGCAGAGCU
rnacentral:sRNA from 1 species